CUUAUGAUUACGUUCAUGUUUUGCAAAAAUGUAAACUGCCUAGAGAACCUUGUUUAUGCUAUAGGGUUAGAUUUUGAGACACUAAAUGUUCUUCAAUUUAAUUAACUUGUUACUAAAGUUAUUCUGUAUAUCAUUUUAUAAUUUAACCGCUUAGCAUUAAUUAAUCUUUAGGAAGUAGUAGAAAUUUUAAAAUCACUCCAAAGUUUUCUUAUUUCCACAUCUCAUUAUUUUAUAAUCUUUAGAAAUGCUUAUAUUUAUGAAAGUAAUAUUUUCAGAGAUAGUAAUUCUUACAGCACCACUAAAACUUUUUUUUUCCCUUUGGACUUUAAUACAUAUGCUAGUAAACUAUAGGAUAAUUUUUUGGUUUUGUUUUUGUUUUUUAAGUUUUCAUGUGAUCACUUAAAUGCCAUUUUAGCGUGAAACAACAAAGCGUUGCCCUAUAGUUAGAAGUAGAGAAAGAGUAGGUACAUCGUUUCUUAAGAUAAUUUGUACAUUUUCACAUAGUCUG
rnacentral:lncRNA from 1 species